UACGUAGGUGACAAGCGUUGUCCGGAUUUACUGGGCGUAAAGAGCGCGCAGGCGGUCGUUCAAGUCGAAUGUGAAAGCCCCCGGCUUAACUGGGGAGGGUCAUUCGAUACUGAUCGACUUGAAGGCAGGAGAGGGAAGCAGAAUUCCUGGUGUAGUGGUGAAAUGCGUAGAUAUCGGGAGGAACAUCAGUGGCGAAGGCGGCUGUCUGGCCCAAUACUGGACACUCAGGUGCGACAGCGUGGGGAGCAAACAGG
rnacentral:rRNA from 1 species